rfam:Alligator mississippiensis ScZkoYb_198, whole genome shotgun sequence.
AAAAGAAUGAUCCUGUGGCUAAGGUGCUGGACUCAGACUCCAGGGAUUUGGGUCCAAUUCCUAGUUCUACUG